CGCGGCCUAUCAGCUUGUUGGUGGGGUAACGGCCUACCAAGGCAUCGACGGGUAGCUGGUCUGAGAGUACGAUCAGCCACACUGGGACUGAGACACGGCCCAGACUCCUACGGGAGGCAGCAGUAGGGAAUCUUGCGCAAUGGGCGAAAGCCUGACGCAGCAACGCCGCGUGAGGGAUGACGGCUUUCGGGUUGUAAACCUCUUUCAGUGAUGACGAAAAUGACGGUAGUCACAGAAGAAGGUCCGGCCAACUACGUGCCAGCAGCCGCGGUAACACGUAGGGGGCAAGCGUUGUCCGGAUUUAUUGGGCGUAAAGAGCUCGUAGGCGGUUGCGUAAGUCGGAUGUGAAAACUCAGGGCUCAACCCGGAGACGCCAUCCGAUACUGCGCUGACUAGAGUCCGGUAGAGGAGCAUGGAAUUCCUGGUGUAGCGGUGAAAUGCGCAGAUAUCAGGAGGAACACCAGUGGCGAAGGCGGUGCUCUGGGCCGGUACUGACGCUGAGGAGCGAAAGCGUGGGUAGCGAACAGGAUUAGAUACCCUGGUAGUCCACGCCGUAAACGUUGGGAACUAGGUGUGGCGAUCCGAUCAACGAUUGCCGUGCCGAAGCUAACGCAUUAAGUUCCCCGCCUGGGGAGUACGG
rnacentral:rRNA from 1 species